rnacentral:lncRNA from 1 species
CUGAUAUCCCUGCCCUGCAGUAGCUUGCAAAAAAGAAGAUUAGUAGAAAAAGAAGAAGACCUAGUUUGCAAAAGCAAGGUUAGGUUAGAAGUGUUGAGUCUUGAGUUAUGUCGUGUCUUUGUUCUUUUUGGAUUUAUGAUUAUUUACUUGCUAGAAAAAAAGCUCUUACGGCUGAAACUACUAGUGACCUUAAUACAGAUACAGAGGCGGGUAAUAAAAACGUAGAAAGAAGAAAAUUAUAUCCUCUUCUUCUGAAUCUGAUGAAAAUGAUGAACCUACGGAACAUGCAUCAAAUAGGAAGCAAUUUAAAGUUACUAAAAUGCCUACCCCACCAAUUUGGACCAACGACAUGGCUGAAAUGGUAGACGAGUCAACUGUUUCGAACACACCAAGUCAAACAGGCAAUAGUUCUACCCCCUGCUUUACCCCUGGUCAAGUUCAUCAUGAUCGUAACAUGGGUCCAGGUUCGAAAAGCAAUUACACCAUACCAAAAAGGGCCUUGAAGGAAAUACAUGAGAAUUUGAAUAAUGUUGUUGCUACAUCACAAAGCACGAGCUGCUGUUGCAAUCCACAACUACUCUAUAAUAUACAAUCAUUACUGAUUGAAAUUAACUCUAAAGUCGGAAAUUGUUGUCAGCGAAAUAUGCAAACUAAUGAAGAGUCUACAAAUAAUAUAUUGCAAAAAUCUGCAAGUUUAAAAUGGAAACAAAUGAGGAUCUGGAACUUUUUGAGAAUUUUUUCUCCAGUCCUGAAAAUUAUUCGGCAUUGAUUUUAUUUUUUUCCAAACUUGGUGGUAACAAUAUAUACGAAUUCAUUAGGCGUUGCAUCGGGCCACUUGUAACUGAUGGCCUGGCCGAACAAUUUUCCUUUACAGGAAGGAAAGGAAAACUGGUUUUUGAAAAAUUAAAUCUAGCUAAAUCUGUACUAGAAGCUGGGCAAAAGGCACAUUGGAUCAAUGGGAUCACCAGAAAGGAGAUGAAAAAAAAAAAUUGGCGAUUGGCUACGAAGAGCCAAAGAAAGAAGAUUAAGAACAGAGAAAUUGAAUGUAUAAACAUCUUAUGUAACAUUUUUUACUAGGUAUCGGGAAAUAAAACAUUGUUAAACAAAUCAUAGCAUUGUGUAUCAGUUGCUAUACAGGGUGUAUCAACGAUGUGUGGGUGAGCGAUAGGUGCUUCCCUAUUUGAGAUAGGAAAAAAGCCUUAAAUAAAAGUUGUGGAGAUCAGUGAAAUCUAUGUUACAAAAAUAUUUACCCUUAUACAGGGUGUUGGAUAAAUGUGUGACUUAUCAAAGAUAUGUUUUUUUAAAUGGAACACCCUAUAUAUUUUUACUUUAAAAUCUUUUUAAUGAGUUGAUUUCAAUGGUACUUCACACUUACUAUCUAUUGUGAUUAGUUGAGGAUCUACAGCUACUGGAAAUUGUCAAUUUUUCAAAUUCAGGUAGCUGUAGUAGCUAAACCAGUAAAAAUUUUUAAAAACGGCUUUCAUGUCCCUUUCCUAACUUUUCAAGUUCUAUUGAGUGACAUGAAAAAUUAUUUAAUACAGGGUUAUCAAAAAUCGUGUAGGAUUUCGGAUUUUUGAUUUUUCGUGUCGCUUAAUAGAACUUGAAAAGUUAGGAUAGGGACAUGAAAGCCAUUUUUCGAAAUUUUGGACUGUUUAGCUCCUACAGCCACCUGAAUUUGAAAAAUUGACCAUUUCCAGUGGCUGUAGGUCCUCAACUAAUCACAAUAGAUAGAAGUGUGAAGUACCAUUGAAAUCAGCUCAUUGAAAAGAUUUUAAAAAUAUAAAGAUAUAUAGGGUGUUCUAUUUAAAAAAACAUAUCUUUGAUAAGUCACACCUUUAUCCAACACCCUGUAUGAGGGUAAAUAUUUUUGUAACAUAGAUUUCAGUGAUCUCUACAAACUUUUAUUUAAGACAUUUUUUCCUAUCUCAAAUAGGGAAGCACUUAUCGCCCACCCACACAUCGUUGAUACACCCUGUAUGUACUUGCGUUUACCAAUGCUUUAUACAGGGUAUUCAUUUCAAAACUAGACAGUUCAAAUAUAUUUUGAUUGUAGUAAAAUGUAAAAAAAUUAAAAAAAACACGUCAAAUUUUAUAUCAAGGGGGACACUUUUUUUUUCAUAAUUGCAGCAUCGAUACUUCAACCCUCGAGCAGUAGAGUGAACUCCUGAAAUUUAUAUAGGGAAAGUACCAAGUGUGCCAUAUUUUUGAAAAGGUAAUUAUAUGAGGAAUUCAGCAAUACCAAUAUUGUUGUGUCAAAUUCCGAUUUUAGCGCCCUCUUGAGGAAAAAAUAAUCGUUACGUAAUUCAAAUUGUGACACCUCAUUCGAAAGCUAUUUCUAUUGCUAAUUAAAUGCAAUAAAUAAUAUUAUCCUGAAAUCAUAUUUCAUAAGUGAAAUCACCUAAAAUAACAGACUUAGUAGGAUCACACUUUCCAAUCUCAUUUGAUUUCAAUUAUUAAAUAUGAAUUCAGGAUAAUUUUAUUUAUUGCAUUUAAUUAGCAAUAAAAAUAGCUUUCAAAUGAGGUGUCACAAUUUAAAUUACGUAACGAUUAUUUUUUCCCCAAGAGGGCGCUAAAAUCGGAAUUUGACACAACAAUAUUGGUAUUGCUGAAUUCCCCAUAUAAUUACAUUUUCAAAAAUGCGGCACACUUGGUACUUUCCCUAAAUUUCAGGGGUUGUUCACUUCACUGUUCGAAGGUUGAAGUAUCGAUGCUGCAAUUGCGAAUAAAAAGUGUCCCCCUGGAUAUAAAAUUUGAUGUGUUUUUUAUCUUUUUUUUACAUUUUACUACAAUCAAAAGAUAUUUGAACUGUCUAGUUUUGAAAUGAAGACCCUGUAUAAUACAUUUCCGAUACCUAGAAGAAAAUAUGUGGCUUAAAGAAAAUAUUAUUAGUUUUUAAAUAAAUAGCUCUUUUAUUAAGAAAUAUUGAAUUGUUUUAUUUGCUCGUAUAGCGAAGUCACUUCCAGGGUAUUUUUAGAAACGUUUCCGAGAUGUUCUAAACAAAGUACCCCGAAUGUACCUAGUAUAUCCUAUUUCAUCUUAGAAACAUCCUACCGAGAUGUUUGUAGAAUGUUGAAAAUGAUGACAUGGCUGUUGCCACAAACAUCCUAGGGAUGUUUCGAGGGAAAUGAGGAUGUUGUUAGUAUGUUUCUAUUGUCCCAGAAGGAUGUUUCUGGAAUAUUUCUGUCAUGUUUCUGUGUUAUCUGGGUAAGAGAUACAACAUUACUUAUAACAUACCAGACAAACUAAGUGACAUUUUAGGCCUACAGUGCAAUAAUAUGUCAAAUUUAAAGAGUUUCCCAAGUUCAAUUAAUACAAUAUUAUAAACAUACAAAUGUAAUAAAAAUUAUUGUUCGCGAAUAUUCAAUUUGGAAUGCGAUUUUGUUAAUAAAAAAAAUACUUAUAACUUAUGCAAAACCCAAGAGAGGCAUUUAUAUUUAUUUCUUUUGCGUUCAUUUUCAAAUUCGCCGUGCAUAUAUUUUUGUGCAUGGCGCUUGAGAGGGCAUCACGUGACUAAAAACGACCAACCAACGACCUCGCUUCGGCCAUCUUGGCAUCUUCAUCUUGGCGACUGGCGACCUUGCCCGGCCUUGCCUUGCCGUGGAUUGUUUGUAUUAUUUGUGCUUUUUAAGAAUAUUUUUUUAAUUCGGAUACUUUUAUAAUAGCUUUAAUAGUAUUAUUAACAUAGUGCAUAAAAUGGUGUCCUGUUUUUAACGCAGUUGGAGUAGCAGAAACAAAUGUAGAUAAAAAAAUCUGCAGGAAUAACGUUUCAAUUAUGACAGAAGCUCAAAACAAAUGACUGUGAAUGAACAGCCCUAUUAAAAGCUUUCCAGAAGAUCCUGCGAAGAAGACAUGAAGUAUAGAUCAGAUUUGUUAAUAGAGGAGUAUGUUCAAAACACUUUCUAGAAAAAGAUAUUGACAGAACUUCACUUUCAUCUGUUCGUUUGAGAGACUGUGCUGUUCCAAUAGCUUAUGUCACACAGAAUCAGCUGAGAGAAGUGGUCUACAAAAAACCAGAAAGGAAACAGAAUAUGUGGCUACGAAAAGCAAAAGAAAGGUUUACAAAGCAAAUGUGACACAUUUUUUUAUAAUAUUUAGGAAUGUCAGCAAAUUACAUUAAAAAAUGUAUGUAAAGAUUUUUUGCAAUAAAAAUGUUUAUAUUUA